CCCACUAGCUGAAUGACAGUGCUGGCUUUCCUUGUCGCCCACACUCACUUCCCCUGCACAGACAGCAUGCUCAGGAACAAGGCGAUCUGUCCCUUUUGCCAAUGCCAGAGACGGCAGCUGGCCCCGCUGAUGUCAGACAGCGAGGCCAACUGCGGCAGUUUGUACUGGUAGCAGAAGAGAUGCUGAAGCAGCAAGCACCUCUGAAGCCAGCCAGAGGGCACAGCAUUGUCCUCCCAGGGACACUGAAGAGAAGCCACACACACUCCGCAAAGCUCUGCCAACCCAGCCAGACAGGUCCUGUCCUGGACCCUGGAGCUUACCAUGACAUCCAGACUGGUCCGGACUUCCCAGUCCUCCUGUCUCAGCCUGCUGAAUGCUGUGGUUACAGAAG